rnacentral:rRNA from 1 species
UACGGGGGGAGCAAGCGUUGUUCGGAUUUACUGGGCGUAAAGGGCGCGUAGGCGGCCACCGCAAGUCGGUUGUGAAAUCUCCGGGCUUAACCCGGAAAGGUCAAUCGAUACUGCGGGGCUAGAGUGCAGAAGGGGCAACUGGAAUUCUCGGUGUAGCGGUGAAAUGCGUAGAUAUCGAGAGGAACACCGGUGGCGAAGGCGACAUCCUGGACCGGUAUUGACGCUGAGGCGCGAAAGCCAGGGGAGCAAACGGG